CAAAAAUAACCAAAAUAUCCACAUAUCUCUAGAAUCAUUCAAAUAUCAUCCAAUUCAUUCAAAUACACAUCUUUAUCAUCAAAUCUGUCAAUAUGCUCCCUCAGCUCAGCAAAUUUAUCAUCAAUAAAAUUGUAUAUUUUCUAAACAAUGAUUAUAUAUCUGCUCAGAUUACACAGAUCAUUGAAUAUCAUCUGAUUACUAUAUAUCAAAUUCAAUAAAAUAUUCACUGCUUUGAAACUGCUAGAAGUUCUCAUUCAAUAUAAAAUAUAAAAUCAAAGAUCACAUCAGAUAUCUUAUCAGAUUUAAAGGAUUUUUUUGAGAUAUAUUCAACUGUAUAUCACAAUGAGACUGUCUGCUUUGUGAAGAAUGAAUUUGAUAUUGAUAUUUAUUCUUAAUUGAUAUUUAGAUUAUUGAAGAAACUGAAUUUGACAC
rnacentral:sRNA from 2 species